GUGAAAACUGUCUCCCGGUGUAAAAAUGGGCAACUAUGGGUUAACUGUGUAACUAUGCUUGCUGAGAAAGAUACAUUGUAACCAGUCACUACUGUAAUACAAACUCACUAGAGCAAAGCAAUCCCAGAAAGCCCUGCCAAACUUCCUGCUCCCACCUUCACUGCCCCUUUGCCUAUGUAAUUGUGUUUAGAUUGAUGGCUGUUUUCCCAGUGAUUACGGUUGCUGUUUCCCCCUCCCAUAGAAACAUAAAGGUAUAAAAACGAGAGUAAACUUCUGUUUGACAUUUUUGAGGUGAUCUGAAUCCCUUGAAGCUGCCAGCGAUAAAGCUGAUUUUUGCUCCUACUUAUGUGGUCAGUGGUCUGUCCGGAGACCCUCAAGCGGUCACACUUCACUUCUAAGGGUCAUUUAAAUUUUAGAAAUAUCACUAGGCAGCUGGGUGGAAGAUAGAUGGAAGGAGAAGAUAUUGCAGUGCAGAUGGUACCAGCAGUUGAUUACAACAAUCAGAGAAGGAACGGCAUUUCAAUCCAAUUCAACAAAUCCUGUGAUCCUACUGGAUGCACAGUACAGGAGCAGGAAGAUGAGUUUGACAUAGUUUGUUUCCAGAGGUUAUUAACAUAAAGACGAGAAGCUGAAAGCAGAAAGAAGUGAAGAAUUUCACCUAUGGCUACUCAGAAGAGGACCUGGGAUGAAAACCAGCCUGACCCUGGGCUCAUCUGUUGACUCUAGAAACCCAAAGCAAGACAUUCUUCAUCAGAAAGAAAGAAAGAAAGAAAGAAGAAGGGUAGCUAUCUCUAAAUGUAGAGUUGGUAAAAUGCUUAGUAACAUCAAAAAGAAGACAUUCUUCAUCUUUAAAUUGAGGGCAAUGAUAGUCUUGCAAUGAACAUUAGCGAGAUUGUGAAGUGUCAGUCACACGGCCUGGUCUAAGUGAAUGAUAAUUUAUAUGCAUUAUGAUACAGUUAU
rnacentral:lncRNA from 1 species